rfam:Camelus ferus unplaced genomic scaffold scaffold1875, whole genome shotgun sequence.
GAGGGUAUAGCUCAGUGGUAGAGUGCAUGCUUAGCAGGCACAAGGUCCUGAGUUCAAUCUCCAGUACUUCCA